UGCCUUCAUGUGUUGCCCGUUCGUUUUUCCCUAGAUGAAUGUGGUGUCAGAAAAGGCGCACAGGAACUCCUGUAAUGGUUUAUAAUCACAAAACUCCCUCAGAUUCUGUGAUUUCUCUGUUACAAGCACAUCU